AAACACAGAGUUUCUAACGGGAGGCAAACCCUAAUUGUUUAGCAAUCUGAUCCAAUUAAAAAAAAAAGUGAUUUUAUGUGAUGUUCCCUCUAGCAACUUACACCUUCUCCCCUAUAUAAGAUAUUUGAAAAUCGUUGCAGAAAUCAUGAUCGGCCUGUUGGAUUAAGAAGCGGCAAGUGCAUCCAAGCAUGUCAUCAAAGCAACUAGGAUGUUGUGUGUUACUAUAUAUUUGAUUAUAUAUAUGAUCAUUAUAUAUAUAUGGCAUGAGAUUCAUUUUCUUUUUUGAUUA